UGCGUCAUAGUUUAAUGGAUUAGAAUUUCUGGUUUCGACCCAGAAGGUGAGGGUUCGACUCCUUCUGACGCAA
rnacentral:tRNA from 1 species